CUUUGAUGACCCCAAAGGUGAGCUCAUAGGGAGCCUCAGGAGGGAGGUGGGGAGGAUUCCUAGUACUGACCCUGUUUCCCACCACCCAGUGGCUGAGCAGGUGCUGCAACAAAAGGAGCACACGAUCAACAUGGAGGAGUGCCGGCUGCGGGUGCAGGUCCAGCCCUUGGAGCUGCCCAUGGUCACCACCAUCCAGGUGAUGGUGUCCAGCCAGUUGAGUGGCCAGAGGGUGUUGGUCACUGGAUUUCCUGCUAGCCUCAGGCUGAGUGAGGAGGAGCUGCUGGACAAGCUAGAGAUCUUCUUUGGCAAGACUAGGAACGGAGGUGGCGAUGUGGAUGUUCGGGAGCUGCUGCAAGGGAGUGUCAUGCUGGGGUUUGCUAGGGAUG
rnacentral:sRNA from 1 species